AUUAGUGUUUCCUACAGGUGGUUUUGGCGUGUAAUGGCGCCCUGCCGCGAUUUCUCAACGCCCUGCCCUUUUUGGGAAAAAAAAUUGGCGCCCUGCCCUAAUUUUGUCGAAAUUCCUGACGCCAUGCCUUUAUCGUCGUAAUUAACAACCGGUACUGAAAGACAUAUUUUAUGAAUACCGCUCGAGUUAUUUCCCUUCAAACGUAAACAAAAGUUCACUAGGACGCCAUUUUGUAAUCGAUUUCGUAAUCAGCUGAUUAGCAAACUGCAAUAGAUUGAAUAGUGAAUACAGAUACUAAUCACGGGUCCUGAUUGUAUCCCCCAAGUCCCAGA
rnacentral:lncRNA from 1 species